GAUGAACGCUGGCGGCGUGCCUAAUACAUGCAAGUCGAGCGAACGGACGAGAAGCUUGCUUCUCUGAUGUUAGCGGCGGACGGGUGAGUAACACGUGUAUAACCUACCUAUAAGACUGAGAUAACUUCGGGAAACCGGAGCUAAUACCGGAUAAUAUUUUGAACCGCGUGGUUCAAAAGUGAAAGACGGUCUUGCUGUCACUUAUAGAUGGAUCCGCGCUGCAUGAGAUAGUUGGUAAGGUAACGGCUUACCAAGGCAACGAUGCAUAGCCGACCGGAGAGGGGGAUAGCCCACCUUGGAAGUGAGACACGGACCAGACUCCUACGGGACGCAGCAGUAGGGAAUCUUACGCAAUGGGCGAAAGCCUGACGGAGCAACGGGGCGUGAGUGAUGAAGGUCUUCGGAGCGGAAUACUCUGUUAUUAGUGAAGAACAGAUGUGUAAGGAACUGUGCACAGCUUGACGGUACCUAAUCAGAAAGCCACGGCUAACUACGUG
rnacentral:rRNA from 1 species